AGAAGCAUGGUUGAAUGGUAAAGCACCUGUUUUGCAUGCAGGGGGCCCCUGAGUUCAAACUUCAGUACUACCA
rnacentral:tRNA from 1 species